GAUGAACGCUAGCGGCAGGCUUAAUACAUGCAAGUCGAGGGACAGCACAGGUAGCAAUACUGGGUGGUAACCGGCAAACGGGUGCGGAACACGUACACAACCUUCCUUUAAGUGGGGGAUAGCCCAGAGAAAUUUGGAUUAAUACCCCGUAAUAUAGCGAUGUGGCAUCACAUUGCUAUUAUAGCUACGGCGCUUAAUGAUGGGUGUGCGGCUGAUUAGAUAGUUGGCGGGGUAACGGCCCACCAAGUCUACGAUCAGUAGCUGAUGUGAGAGCAUGAUCAGCCACACGGGCACUGAGACACGGGCCCGACUCCUACGGGAGGCAGCAGUAAGGAAUAUUGGUCAAUGGACGCAAGUCUGAACCAGCCAUGCCGCGUGAAGGAUUAAGGUCCUCUGGAUUGUAAACUUCUUUUAUUUGGGACGAAAAAGGGUCUUUCUAGAUCAGCUGACGGUACCAGAUGAAUAAGCACCGGCUAACUCCGUGCCAGCCGCCGCCGUAAUAC
rnacentral:rRNA from 1 species